CGGAGAGGAAAAAAAAUAAAAUUAAAAAGUAAAAAUAAACAUCUCUCUCUCCAUUGCCUUUCUCAGCUUCUUCUUCAUGCUCCCUUCUCUUCUACGGGGAAUUUGAUGUUUUGACUCUGUCUACAAGGUAGAUCUGGAGAAGGGCACAGUAUUUGAUUGAUUUGUUUUUGGUUGGGAAUCUUGAAGUGAAGUAAAGCUGGCGGCUACACUGGCUUGGAGGUUUGCUGCCACCAAUGGCAGCAGCCUUGGUGCUAACGNCCUUGGUGCUAACGACAUGGAAAAAAAUGUUGAUGGAAAACUUCAAGAUUCAGAGCCCCCG
rnacentral:misc_RNA from 1 species